UCCCCGGCCCCGCGCCGCCGCUUCGGCUUCUCCCCUGCGGCGCGCAGCCAUGUGUGAGGUGCGGCCGCGUGUGCACUGGCGAAGGAAACCUCAUUGAAAGGUUUUAUCAAAACCAACAUGCCAUCGUACCAGGUUGUAUGAUGGAUAACUCUGUAACAGAAGACCAUGGAAUUUGUCAAGCUUUUGUUAUGUUAGAUAUCUACACUUCAGUUUUUGAUCUUUUAAACUGAAUUUAAGUUUAGGUAACACCAACUUUUUCCAAGCAGAAGUAGUAAAAAUAGUGUAUUUACUGGCUGUCUGUAUUCAAGAACCAGGUUGUGCAAUAAAAAAGACAUUUAAUGUUCCACACAA